GACGAACGCUGGCGGCGUGGAUUAGGCAUGCAAGUCGAACGGUAUGGUACCUUCGGGAAUCAGAGAGUGGCGAACGGGUGAGUAACACGUAGGUGAUCUACCCUCAAAUCGGGGACAACCCAGGGAAACUUGGGCUAAUACCGGAUGAGUGCAGCAAUGCAUAAAAGGUGGCUGGUAACAGCUGUUGUUUGAGGAUGAGCCUGCGCCCUAUUAGUUAGUUGGUGAGGUAACGGCUUACCAAGGCGAUGAUAGGUAGGCGGCCUUAACGGGUGGUCGCCCACACUGGGAUUGAGAUACGGCCCAGACUCCUACGGGUGGCUG
rnacentral:rRNA from 1 species